CGAACGCUGGCGGCGUGCCUAAUACAUGCAAGUCGAACGCUUCUUUUCCACCGGAGCUUGCUCCACCGGAAAAAGAGGAGUGGCGAACGGGUGAGUAACACGUGGGUAACCUGCCCAUCAGAAGGGGAUAACACUUGGAAACAGGUGCUAAUACCGUAUAACAAUCGAAACCGCAUGGUUUUGAUUUGAAAGGCGCUUUCGGGUGUCGCUGAUGGAUGGACCCGCGGUGCAUUAGCUAGUUGGUGAGGUAACGGCUCACCAAGGCCACGAUGCAUAGCCGACCUGAGAGGGUGAUCGGCCACAUUGGGACUGAGACACGGCCCAAACUCCUACGGGAGGCAGCAGUAGGGAAUCUUCGGCAAUGGACGAAAGUCUGACCGAGCAACGCCGCGUGAGUGAAGAAGGUUUUCGGAUCGUAAAACUCUGUUGUUAGAGAAGAACAAGGAUGAGAGUAACUGUUCAUCCCUUGACGGUAUCUAACCAGAAAGCCACGGCUAACUACGUGCCAGCAGCCGCGGUAAUACGUAGGUGGCAAGCGUUGUCCGGAUUUAUUGGGCGUAAAGCGAGCGCAGGCGGUUUCUUAAGUCUGAUGUGAAAGCCCCCGGCUCAACCGGGGAGGGUCAUUGGAAACUGGGAGACUUGAGUGCAGAAGAGGAGAGUGGAAUUCCAUGUGUAGCGGUGAAAUGCGUAGAUAUAUGGAGGAACACCAGUGGCGAAGGC
rnacentral:rRNA from 1 species